rnacentral:rRNA from 1 species
AGAUUGAACGCUGGCGGAAUGCUUUACACAUGCAAGUCGAACGGCAGCACGGGGGCAACCCUGGUGGCGAGUGGCGAACGGGUGAGUAAUACAUCGGAACGUGCCCAGUCGUGGGGGAUAACUACGCGAAAGCGUAGCUAAUACCGCAUACGAACUCUGGUUGAAAGCGGGGGACUCGCAAGAGCCUCGCGCGAUUGGAGCGGCCGAUGGCAGAUUAGGUAGUUGGUGGGGUAAAGGCUCACCAAAGCCGACGGA